AGAAUCAACGCUGGCGGCGUGCCUAACACAUGCAAGUCGAACGCGAAAGCCCCGCAAGGGGUCAGUAGAGUGGCAAACGGGUGAGUAACACGUGGGUGACCUGCCUUCGAGUGGGGGAUAACGUCCCGAAAGGGACGCUAAUACCGCAUGACAUCCUGCCUUUGGAAAGGUGGAGAUCAAAGCUGGGGAUCGCAAGACCUGGCGCUUGAAGAGGGGCCCGCGCCUGAUUAGCUAGUUGGUAGGGUAACGGCCUACCAAGGCGACGAUC
rnacentral:rRNA from 1 species